UUCCAGCUCCAAUAGCGUAUAUUAAGGUUGUUGCAGUUAAAAAGCUCGUAGUUGAAUUUCGGGAUUGGCGCAUCGGUCGUGCCUCACGGGGUAUGAACUGGUGCAGUCAAUUUCUCACCUUCUGGAGAACCGCGAUGUCCUUAAUUGGAUGCCGCGGGGAACCAGGACCUUUACUUUGAAAAAAUUAGAGUGUUUAAAGCAGGCAUUUUUGCUUGAAUACAUUAGCAUGGAAUAAUAAAAUAGGACGGCAUGGUUCUAUUUUGUUGGUUUCUAGGACCACCGUAAUGAUUAAUAGGGAUAGUUGGGGGCAUUAGUAUUCAAUUGUCAGAGGU
rnacentral:rRNA from 1 species